rnacentral:rRNA from 1 species
CAGUCGUACCGGCGGGUAAUCAGCCUUUUGGGUGCGAUUAUGUGGAGCGUGACGAGUUAAUCACCCUCAUCUUUGCAUAUUUGUGCACUUUGGGUGUACUUGUCCGUAUGGUAAGUUAACAUCAAUUUUGGUCGUUAUAAAAUGGCUGGAGGAAUGUAGCUUUGAUCUCGUAUUGAAGUGUUAUAGCCUUUGGUAGAUGUGAUGAUUGGGAUUGAGGAUUGCAACGGAUACCCUUCGGGGCUACCUGUCUGAUCUCUGAAAGUUGCUCUGGUGCCGAAAGCUUGCUUACGGUAUUAAAGUUGACGUUCAACAGGUUAGAACGGGAUAAA